CGGGUACCGUCAAGGCCCAGGGUUAUUAACCCUGGGUUUUUCUUUCCCGAUAAAAGUGCUUUACAACCCGCAGGCCUUCUUCACACACGCGGCAUUGCUGGAUCAGGCUUGCGCCCAUUGUCCAAUAUUCCCC
rnacentral:rRNA from 1 species